rnacentral:lncRNA from 1 species
CUUAAUUGGAGAAUUGAUUUAAAUUUAGAUUAUUUUAAUUAAUGAAAUCAAGAGUUUAAUUGAAUAAUUAAUGAGGUUAAGGACUUAAUUAAACUUUGAUUUAAUUAAUUAAAGGAAUCAGGGGUGUAAUGGAAAAAAUACCAAAGUUUGGAGCUGAUUCAAGAAAAAAUUGCUAGAAAAUUAAAGUCCAAGGAUCAAAUUGAAUAGUCCAGAAACUCAGGACUGUUGUGUAAAUGGUGCUAUAACUCAGGGAUUCAAUUGAAUUUAAUCCAAGGGCAUAAUUAAAAAAAUCAAUUAUACAUGAUUAAGAUCUCAAUUGUAAAGUUUAAAACGUCCAGGGACCAAAGUGAAAAUUGCCUCAAGCACACAAACGGCGCCGUUUGGAAGACUGCGUUCUUCGUCCCUUCCGUUUCGCACGGACCAGACCGAUUCAACAGAGAAAAAUCCGGCAGCUUGAACAAGGAAAAUCCAGCAACUCAAGGCCACUGCACCACCUCAUGCCCACGAUCUCGUUCGUGGAUUACCGAAGAGUCCUGCAAAGACAGGACUGGGAAGGGGGGAGCUCUAUAAGAGAGGAGCAAACGGCAGCAACAGAGGAAGGAGGACCCAACCCACAAAUACAGAAACCAGAGCAAGAAAUCAAGGCAAAAAAAUCCAGAGCUAAAACAAACAGAGUAGAAAUACAGAGGGGAGGCAAUUCACAGCACUAAAAAAAACAGAGAGGCGCAGAAACAAAUACACAGAGACAUAGAGAACAGCAAAACAGAGAGACGAGUAUUGGCCCUCAUUGCCUUCGUCCCUGCAAACAACGAAAACCCUGAAUCAAAAACAAGUUCCCAUCAGGCCGGCCUCUUCAUCAUCCUCUCGACUGGAAAACCCAGGAGACACACAGACCAAACACACAAGCAGAGGAAAGUCACGAGAUCGCUGCCACUGCCUUCAGCGUUUCCAGAACCUGAAGAGAAAGUAAAGGAAAGCAGAAGAAGGAGCAGAGGAGAGCAGGCAGUGCCGGUCAGCCAUAGCUUCGUCAUCGUGUCCAUCAAUUCCAGCAGACCAGGGAAGCAAAAAAAGAAAAGAAAAAGGAAGACAGUGAGCACAGCGGGGAGAGAAGAGAAAGCAGUCGAACGAAGACAGUGGGCACAACGGGGAGAGAAGAGAAAGCAGUCGAACGAGAGCAGCAGCCACCAGCAUCGCAGCCUUCUUCAUCGUCUCCAGAAGCAGGUAUGACUUCGUCCCUUUGCAUCUUCAUUUAAAAAAGCAAUUUAAGGUUACAAGAACUGUGUGAAGGUAAUUUAAUUACCUUCACCAGUGUUCGGGCACGCGUGAACAAGUCACGCGUGCCUUUACUUUUUUUUUUGUUUUGCCCAGCCAGGCCACUGGCUUGGGCCAGUGACUUGGCCGGGCUGGCUGGGCCCAGCCCAAAAUCAUAUGCUGGGCUGGGUCUAGCCC